UGCGUGGGGUGUGGGGUGGGGCACUCGCCAGGCUCGCCCUUUAGGUGCUAAUGUAAACGCCACCCGUUGCUGCUGGUUUCCACGAGUGUUUCCCAAAUGCCGGAACACAUGACAGAGCUCCGAGCAGAUGCUGGAAAGCGCUUCGAUAUUGCUAAGUCAAGCGUCUGCUCAUUUUCUAAGGCGGCAUUUUAUAAUCGGAUGAAGCGUUCUCUUUCCUGAAGUAGGUAAAACCACCUGUCAUCUGCAAUACCUACUGGUAUUAUGUUCUAACAGCCAGGGUCUGGGGAGAGGCAGCACCCGGAGGCUCAGUGCCACAGGUGGGGACUCAAAGGAACCUGGGCACUAGAAACAAAACUGACACUUUGAAGCUGCAGUUUCAUUUCCUACAUCACAUUACAUGUUCAGUUUGCAAGUAACUGUGCCUGUUCCGGAAGCCAUCGUCUCCGUGAAGGACAGGGCUGUCCAGGAGCCUGGAGAAGGACGUGGGAACCUCUAGUUCACAUGCCCUAGGGAGACUUAGGUUCAAGCAAACUUGGGAAACAGCGCUAAGCCACCCCCAGUUCUGUGCCUGCAGGCACCAGCCAUGGCCCCACCAGAUGGCCCAUCCCCCCACCUGGCUUAGAACCUGGCAUAGAGACCUCGCAUCUUCGCAGCCCUGGGCAAAUCCAGCUUUCCAAGCCAUCUUAUUUCCUCGUGAAUUCAGAGAGUGUGCCAAACACACACUGCUUGGAAUCCAAGGGGUUAAUGAGCAUAGAUGACUUGGCAGUGAGACCUCACUGCUUAUGGCUCCCCCAUGCACAAGGCUCUGCCCCGUGGAGUGCUCGCAUCCGAAUACUACACUUCAGGACCUGAUUCAAAUAGAACCUGCCAAGAAGCAUUCCCAGACUCUUCCUGCUUAAUUACCAUCUCUGCUGGCAAACAACACAAUCCCGACAGAAAAUGCACCAGAUAAGGAGGCAGCCACCGGCUCUUCACGUGAGUAACACUGGGGCGCAGACGAGAACCGCAAGGAAGAGGAAGCGUGACCGCGCGUGAAAUUCAACCCAAGCCCUAGUUGGUUCUCUCCUGCUUGUCGAGGGCCACCGGGGAGAGGGACAGACAGGCCCGACUGUCAAGGAGCAUCCGGUGCCUCAUGAGAAUCACAGCGUCCGCGCCACGGUCAUCUGACAACGACACGAGAAUGCUGGGGGUCUGAGCACCAGGUGUGCCCCUCAGAGCAGCGGGCUCCCCCUACUCCU